UAUGGACCUAAUUCUCCCCAUGCAUCGUACAGGGAGCCUGGGUGCCUAAUUGGAGCUGAGGUGUCUACUCAGCUGCAGGGCACCUAAACAUUAGGUGUUGUAACAUUGAGUCUAAGUCAGUGGUUCUCAAAGCCGGUCGGCCGCUUGUUCAGAGAAAGGUGGGGGGGACGGACCGCGGGGCUCCAUGUACUGCUCCUGAGCACCGGCUCCGCACUCCCAUUGGCCAGCAACCAUGUCAAUGGGAGCCGGGGGUAGGGGCGGUGCCUGUGGGCAAAAGCAGUGCGCGGAGCCUCCUGCCCACCCUCCCCCUGCCUAGGAGCCAGACCUGCUAGCUGCUUCCGGGGUGCAGCGCGGUGUCAGGACAAGUAGGGAGCCUGCCUUAGCCCUGCUGACAAGGAGUCGCCUGAGACACACUCGGCUGUUCAGCGCCAGCAGCAGUAUGAAGUCUCCUGCUAUCAGCCCAGAGAAAGUCUCAGGCAGCAGGUGAAAGUCCACUUUGAUGCUGCGCUUGAGGAGAAAAGGGGACUGGGGCCAGAGCACAGCAGGCACCUCCAGCCUUGCUUGUGCUUUUGGGUCCCAAGGCCAGCUCUGCAACCCAAUGGAUGAUUCAAGUCUAAACUUGCAUGCCUCAACUACUUUUACAGCCAGUCAGGAAGUCAACUGCCUACGGAGUCAUGUUGCCUAGGCAACAUGGUGCAACUUGGAGCAUUGCAUGCCCUGCCAGCAAAACAUGAAGACACCUGACAUGAACAGAUUGCUGACAUGCAGGACUGUCGUAUUCUACAAGAAUAUGAAAGUCCUGCAACUUUUGUUGUGGACUCUGGGGCAUGCAAUGCAUGUAUUGCAUGCCUAGACAGCAUGCCACACUAGGACCCAGGUGCUGCCUCCCCACCCUACCAUGUGGGCUUGAGGAAGGAGUGAGCCAGGGACUCCAGCUCUCAUAGGAGCAGCUGCAGAAGCAGAAAAAGCAGGGACCUUGUGACAUUCAGAGAACUUUCUACAGUUUCAACUGGACUUCUCUGCCCUGUGCUGAUUGGCGGCUUGCUCCAACCCUCUCCCUCCCUCUCAGUCUCUUCACCUCAGUUUAGGGUGACUGUGUGUCCUGUUUUUUUAAGCCCUGUCCUGGCUGUCCCAACCUUUUUGGGAAAAAUGUGCAUUUGUCCUGUUUGCUGUUGCCAGCUUGAUCAGUUGGCAAGAACAAAUGGGACAAAUGCUCACUUUUGUCAAAAAAGUGGGGUGCAGAGGAAAGUGUAGGGGGCGAGCAGCAAUGCCAGACCCUUGCAAGGGGGGAAGCAGGGCUUGUGCAGGUGGGCAGGCAGGGUUUGAGCAACCAGCGACCCAAACCUUGCAUGGAGGUGGGAGGGUUUAGGCGAGCAGCUCAGGCCAGCCCAGUGUGCGGGAAGGCGAGGGCUCAGGCCAGCCCUGCACAGUGUCCUGUUUUCCUUUUGGGAAAUAUGGUCAUCCUAAUUUAGCUUCACUCCACACCUGCCCCUCUUACUGUCUUCUGCCCUGCCCUGUCCCCAUCAUAUCCUUCCCUUCUCAUUUAGUUGAUCCCCUCCUAAGUAACUCCACCCCCCAAAAAAUAUUGAAAACAUGACCUUCGGUGUCAUUACACUGUUUGCUCUGAUGGUGUGUUCUACCAAUUCACCUAGCCAGGAUUUCUUGUCUAUUUAGAUUGUAAGAUCUUGUGGCAGGACAGUUGACUACUCAGUUUUUCAGAGCCUUUCACAAUGGGUCCCUAUUCUUGGUUGGCCUUUAGUCACUAUCUUAAUAAACAUGAAUACUACUAGUACUAAUACUUUUCAGAUACACAUGGAUCUUUGACGGUGAGUUUGGGGUAUCUAUUUACAAGCUACUUUUCCUUUAACAUUCGAUUUCAGUUUAUUUUAUUUAAUAAAAGUCUUUAAAAACAUAUUUUACAUAUUUCAGAUACUCCACAUUUCUGUUAAGUUUCAAAUGACUGCAGAAAGAGGAGAGAAAAGUGCUAUUACCUUCAAUGUAUUUAAUUGAAUUUAUAAAAUAAUAAUAGCAAUGCUCAAAAUUUCUAGUGCUCUUGUGACAUUCAAAUAAUUUAAGAAUUUGCACAGUAUCAAAUUUAUUUCAAAAUAUCACAUACCAGACUGACAUUCAUAAUUCACUAAAUGCCUGUUACCAAACUCCUUCAUAAGCCAUAUGUCUCUCAGCCUACUUCUUCCUGAAAUGCCUGGGAAAAAAAUAUUGGCUUUGCUGUAUGAGUGAAAUGUUGACAAAUCUGGGCUUAUUGUACUCCAUUUGCUCUUAGAUGGUGGCCUUCUUUGUUGCUCUGGAGCUGUUUAAUCCUAGAAAAUAUGAAAGAAGGGCAAAAGGCUAGAUGUCUGGAACUGCUAUGGGCAGAAUUCCAGGGUGUUCAUGAAGGCAGUGUCUUACAGCAAUUGAAAUAUCAGACAAUUAACACUGAAAGCCUUUAUAAUUAGGGUGAGUCAUGUAAAAGGAAAUAUCAGGUAGAUAUAUCUACACAAUUACUAUAUUUACCCUUUGGUUGGAGCUGUGAUUUAAGACUUUCUACGCAUAAAUAUUCUCUCAGUGCUGUCUCAUUUUCAAUCAGGAUUGUAAAUUGUCCUUGUAGUUAAUUCUCAGAGACAAACAUGAAAAACUAAUU